rnacentral:snRNA from 1 species
UUGCUUCAGUAGCACAUAUACUAUAAUUGGAAUGGUAAAGAGAAGAUUAUCAUGACCCAUGCACGAGGAUGAGAGUCAGAUUUGUGAAGCAUUCCAUAUUUCC